CCUACGGGAGGCAGCAGUGGGGAAUUUUGGACAAUGGGGGCAACCCUGAUCCAGCAAUGCCGCGUGUGUGAAGAAGGCCUUCGGGUUGUAAAGCACUUUUGUCCGGAAAGAAAUCGCUCUGGCUAAUACCUGGGGUGGAUGACGGUACCGGAAGAAUAAGCACCGGCUAACUACGUGCCAGCAGCCGCGGUAAU
rnacentral:rRNA from 1 species